UUCCGAGGUCCUCUGCCGCGCGUGUUUGGAAGGUAUGGCCACCUCGGUCAGUGAUGCUCUACCUGAAAGGCCUAGGCUUCGGGUCAUGAUUGACAUGUUGGCUCCAGGAAGCAUCAUCAUAAGGCGUGGUGCAUAAGGGCCUUCGGGAUGAGUCUGUGUGGUGUAGGCUGAGCCUCAGUUUCUGGGCCCUCAAGGGAUGCUGAUGCUGCCACACAGGUAGCCGCCCUGCACCUGGAUUUUUGCCUGGACUCAGAACAAUGCCUGUCCGCAGAAGACCUUCCACACACGGCUCAGUGAAGCAUCAGUGCUUCCUAGGCCUGUAAUCUGGCUGAGGAAUGUGCUGAGGAACAGAUUGACAUGUUGGUUCCAGGAAGCAUCAUCGUAAGGCGUGGUGCAUAAGGGCCUUCGGGAUGAGUCUGUGUGGUUAUUGCUCUGUAGUGCCAGAGAACUAUAUAGCUGUUGCUGCUCCUGCCUUUCGUUUUCCAGUCAUCAAAAGACCUUGGAGUAGAGUUACCUGACUGGUCACCCUGGGAAGCCUUUGGCAGCUGAUGAGGGCACUCAGUCAGAGGCACUGGGAAGGCCCCUGCUGAGUCCAGAAAAGCAUUUCUGACAGAUUUUUCUGGGAAGUCAGGGUUGGGCUUUGUAUUUUGAAGCACAAAUAAACUUUAUAAAAUUUAA